rnacentral:rRNA from 1 species
GGUAUUUUGCAAAAAUAUUUUAGAUGAUUAAUUGUUGUCAUCCAUACUUUUUCUAUUUGACCCUGGUAGGAUUUAAAAGCGGGACUAGUAAAGCUACAUACGAAUAUUCUAUUAGAAUGAUUAAUAAAAAUUAUCUAGUUUUAUUAUAGUAGUAGUUAGGACUAUGAGUAUAAAGAAAUUUAAUAAUGGUUACUAAGUCGUUAGAAGAGACUAAAUCACAGUGCCAGCAGUCGCGGUUAAACUGUUUGCUUCUCGUUUUAUUUGUAGGUUUAAAUGAUUAUUAAAUAAGUUAGAAAGUGUGUUAGUAAAAUAGACUUUUGUUAGAGAAUAGUUUAAUAGUUUUUAGAGAGUCUGAGAAAAAUGGGGAUUGGAGACCCCUUUAUUAGACUUCGAAAUUUUAGUCCACAGUUAGAAACUGAAAGGGUUUGGCGGUAAAUUAGAUUCGUCCGGGGGAAUGUGCAUAUUAAAAAGAUGAUCCGCUAAUUAUUUUACUAUAAUAAUUUCAGUUAGUGUAUAUCCGUUUAUAGAUUUACGUCGAGAGACAUCAAGUGAGUAAAAAAUUAUGUAAUUUAAGACAGGUCUAUAUGCUGCUAAUAUUAUAGGUGGUUGUGCGUUACAGUAAUAAGUUGAGUAGAUGAAAUUCGCUUAAGUAUUUAGGACUCGGAAGUAGGAGCAAAAUAGUAUGUUGCUUCGAAGGUUGAAAUAAUUUAUGUACACAUCGCCCGACAAUCUCGGUGAUAAAUUGAGUUAAGUCGUAACAUGGUAGUGCUUGAAGAAUC